AUGAAGGAUCAAACAAUACAUGAUCUAUGGCCAACUCCACCGCGUGAUGAGAACAUCAAUACCAUUGUUACACCCACAACCCCUACUGUUACAUACACUGGACCAAUUACUAGAGCUCGCGCACGCCAAUUAAAUUACCAGGUACUUUCGUUUCUUGGUAAUGAUUCUAAUGUUCAUGAGAUUAUGAUGUUGCCUAAAUUGGAUACAUUUGUUUUGCUUACAAAUGAAGGGCCUAGCUUGGAGAAGGAUGAACAUUGGAGCAAGAACACGCAUGAAGUUGAUGGCAUGCGCAAGGGGAUCAAGAACGGAGUUAUAAGUGAUGAUUUCAGGACUUUGAAGCCGCCAUAA
rnacentral:rRNA from 1 species